CCUUCGAUAGCUCAGCUGGUAGAGCGGAGGACUGUAGGUGCUCGUCUGCGGCUAUCCUUAGGUCGCUGGUUCGAUUCCGGCUCGAAGGA
rnacentral:tRNA from 1 species